UCGAUAUCUUCCAUUUCAUUUUAAAAUCGACGAGGUCGUCGCGUGAGUUUAAUUCGUUCGUUAUUCCGGGAAUUAUCGUACGUUUAGAUAAAACUACUAAUUCUCCUUUGAAUUCUUUUAAUUUUUUGUUUAUAUUUUAUCAUAUCUUCUCUUCAGAGAAUGUUUUGCUAAUUGGAUAGUCAACGACUUAUGAAAUGUAAGAAGAAUGUGAAAUGAAAAUAGAAAAAGACAACUAGGUUGUAUAAAUUGCAGCACCCUGAUUCGGUUCCGUCGGAAAGACCAGAUCGCCCAGCUUGAACUCGUCUUUUAUCUCACAUCGGCCGAUCUCCUCUUUCAGCUUAUCCACAAAUUGAGAAACCUUGUUUUUCGUUGUGAUGGCCACUAUGCAACCACCCCACCUCCAGCUCCCGUGAGUCUUGCUCCGAAUGCAUCGCAUGCCAUAGCUUUGUCGACGAGCGAGUCAACGUUGGGAUGGCUGCACUCGUAUAGUUUGCGCAGACUGGCGUGGCUGUUGGACAUUAGGUUGCCUAGCUGUCGUAGCUUCUCGUCUUCUGUAAUGGCACUUUCCUCGCUGAUACGCUGGAAUUUGACCACUCUGGCUGCCUCUAAAAUGCGUACGAAAUCAUAUGGUGGUUCAAUCGAUUGAAAUUUAAUAAUCGUGCCAAUAAUGAAUACAAGUGGAUGAUAGGCUGUGCAUGUGCAUUCGUAAUCGAGAGUACACGUUACUAGAGCGUGUUAUAUUGUGUGCUUCGUGAACAGAAGUUGUUUAGGGAAACAUAACGAGACUGGUGUGUCAUAUGGGCAUUGCUUCUAUUAUUAUAUUCGCGGUGAACGUAUGAAAUUCAAUCGUUCGAAAUAACACGAUAAAGAGCAACACCAUUAUUCAUACGAGAAUAACGAGCGACGUAACGAGUCUAAUUCCAGUGAAAAUACACUGGAAUUUUCAUGGAAAUUUUCUACUGGAAGCUAGACGACUUAAUUUUUGACUUAAUUUUAGUCAUUCGAUUUAGUACGGUAUGAUGUUUCGUGAUAUUUGGUUUUGUUUUUGAUUGUGCUUUCUAUCUGUUUGUUUGUUGGUAUUCAAAAAGAAAUUUGCCCCCCGGCUAGCGACAGCUAACUUUGAUCGUUGGAUGAGCGAAAUCUGUGGGCAAAAAAUCUGGACAGAUACUGCGAAAGGUUUUCCGCGUGGUUUUCGUUGGGUUUCCAGGCCAAUAAAUUCUAUGGCUUGAGCCGAAUACGGUUGGUUGCAAAUAAAUGGCGGUCAAAAUCGAUAAACUGUCGUUGUGAAAAUUUAUCGCUUCAGGAAGAAAUGCAUACGAGUGAUACUGUUUCUCCCAGCUGGACUAACAAUUUUUUGAUCCCUUGUGGUUCUCGUUCGAAUGAAAUAAGAGGAUGUAAUUUGAAAAUAUAUAGAAAUAUCACACAAAAAUUGGAAUAGCUGAAAAGAGCACUCACCUGGCUUAUAUGCACAGUCACAAGAACAGCGGCAGAAACUAGCGCGCUAGAGCUCGAGAGCCCUGAAUUAGGAGGAAUGUUACCCCAAACUGCAGCCAAGAUUCCCGAAGGUGCGCAUUCCUCUGGGAUCACUUCAAGAGCUCCUUUCACACCGCAGAGGAAAUAUUUGUACCAGUCUGGACCACUGCCGGCGUCCUUGAUGCAAACACUACGCAGGAAAUGUGAAUUUAUUUCUCUUUUCGCAGUUAUCUUAUAGCUUCACCCAUUUUUAAGGUAUUUUCUUCUUUGGAUAAAUUAGAUAAAAAAUGCUGCAGUAUAAAAAACAUGGAAAGUUUUUUUUACAAAAUCAAUAUUAAAAAAUUUAUAUCGGAAACCUUACAAAUAACAAAUAAAAUAUAUUUAAAACAUUGUUGCUUAAUAAUAUUUCGUGCCAGAUUUUUUAAUGUUAAUUUUACCGUAAUAAUUCUCUACUGCAGGAUGAAAUACGUUUAGAUAUUUUCCCGAUGCUCUUUACUGCCACUUUUGCGCUGCCAAAUUUUACAUUUAUUUUUUCGCGAGGAUUAGUUCCCUUUACAACAUUGUUUGCAAAUCUCACGGAUUUCUGCAUAUAUAUUUCCAUGACAUAUUCAUAAAGGUUGAAAAAGAUAAUAAAGGGUAACAAAAUCUGCACCAUAAAA
rnacentral:misc_RNA from 1 species